AAAACCAACGCCCUUCGGGGCUCCUUGGUGAAUCAUAAUAACUAAACGAAUCGCACGGCCUUGCGCCGGCGAUGGUUCAUUCAAAUUUCUGCCCUAUCAACUUUCGAUGGUAGGAUAGUGGCCUACCAUGGUGGCAACGGGUAACGGGGAAUUAGGGUUCGAUUCCGGAGAGGGAGCCUGAGAAACGGCUACCACAUCCAAGGAAGGCAGCAGGCGCGCAAAUUACCCAAUCCCGACACGGGGAGGUAGUGACAAUAAAUACUGAUACGGGGCUCUUUCGGGUCUCGUAAUCGGAAUGAGAACGACCUAAAUAACCUAACGAGGAACAAUUGGAGGGCAAGUCUGGUGCCAGCAGCCGCGGUAAUUCCAGCUCCAAUAGCGUAUAUUAAGUUGUUGCAGUUAAAAAGCUCGUAGUUGAACCUUGGGUCUGGCUGGCCGGUCCGCCUCACCGCGAGUACUGGUCCGGCCGGACCUUUCCUUCUGGGGAACCUCAUGGCCUUCACUGGCUGUGGGGGGAACCAGGACUUUUAC
rnacentral:rRNA from 1 species